AUGGGGAGGGUCCUGGCAGCAGCAGGGUUAGCACCAUCCCAUUGGCACAUGCUACCUGCUGUGCCUGCAGUUCAAUCGGUCAUUCAUGUGCACAGUCAGCAGGUUCUGGCUGGCAGAAGUGAGGCAACAUGUGGGGCAAAGAUCACCCUCUCAAGGGCUUUGGAGUUGUUGGGGCUGGAUUUGAAUCCACGCUCUGCAUUUCCCAGCAGAAUGAUCAAGGUUAAGCUCCCCAAUCAAUCUGUUACUCCUCCAGCAAAACGGAGUUGUGAAGGGGUGCCUGGCACACAGAAGAUACUUAGAAUACGUCAGGUUGAAUUUUUCUUUCCCUCUAGGCUCUCUUCUCUUGUCCACCACCAUGUGAGAUGUGCCUUUCACCUUCCACCCAGGCUGGAGUAUAGGAGUGCGACCAUGAUUGUGAAGCCUCCCCAGAAACUGCCUGAAACAGCCUGGCACCUACAGUGGAUGCUGAGUCCAUCUUCCAUGAAUGAAUGCAAAGGCUUUGGAGGCAAUACACAGUAA
rnacentral:lncRNA from 1 species